GAUGAACGCUGGCGGCGUGCCUCAUGCAUGCAAGUCGAACGGGAACACUUUUAGUAGCAAUACUGGAGGUGUUCUAGUGGCGAUCGGGUGAGUAACACGUAGGUGACCUGCCCCGAAGAGGGGGAUAACGGCCCGAAAGGGCUGCUAAUACCCCAUGUGAUUGGCGAUUCAGUUUGUCAAUUAAAGCUUCCGCAAGGAGUGUGCUUUGGGAGGGGCCUGCGGCAGAUUAGAUAGUUGGUGGGGUAAUGGCCUACCAAGUCGAUGAUCUGUAGCUAGUCUGAGAGGACGAUUAGCCACACUGGCACUGACACACGGGCCAGACUCCUACGGGAGGCAGCAGCAGGGAAUAUUGCACAAUGGGCGAAAGCCUGAUGCAGCAACGCCGCGUGAGGGAUGAAGGUCUU
rnacentral:rRNA from 1 species